UGUCAACCAAAUAUUAGAAAUUAUAGUAUUCUGCCCCAACGACCUCAUCCGACGCAUGUGACCCCCACUGGUCAACCACUUGACCGAUUUUAUGGAUCUUCUAACUUUAUUCCUCAUCUACAGAGAUGAAGACCAGGAUAAGACGCAUUUAUUUCAUUUCUAAUAUUUGGUUGAUAACCAAAUUCAUGGGAAAAUUGUAUGCAAUUCCCCAACUUUUGAUUUUUCGAUUUUUUUGGAAAAAAAAUCAUCCUUGCACCACCCCCUUAGGAGAAACCACGGACAACAAAAAUGUUUAUGCACCUUGGUCUAGCCUACAUGCAAGAGUUACUUAGGGGGGAUUCGGCACAGCUGAACCUAAUUGAUCCGUUAGAAGUUCCUACACGACGCCCUUGUAUAGCUAUGGAUCUACUGAAAAGUGAGGUUAAUGGACGUGCAAUGUUGUCAGCAAAGCCAGAAGAACAAGCAAAAGAUAGAACUGCAAAAAUUUUACUUCUUCUACACAGGCGGCAUUGGAUACGCACUACCAAAGCAUCUCUUAGACAAGUUGAACAAGAAUUGGAAGAAGAAAGACGAGUUUGGAGAAACAGAUUAAGGAUGCAAUCAACACAAUCCUGCCACCCGGAGAAUAUUAUUUAGACAGUGGAUACAGAGUAACACAGUCAAGCACGAACGAGUCUGGAUUAACGCAAGCAACAAAGCGCGCUAAAUUGACGGAGGAUUCUACUCACAACACUCAUCCUGUCACCGAUGGAAUGGCUAGACCGCGGAACGCUACACGUUGAUACAUCCACGAAACUCCUGAUGGAGUUAGGUAUAAAUCACGAGGAACAAGAAGUGGAAUGACAAGCUGGGACAGAGUGUGUUCCACAAAAGAUUGUCCAAGACUUGCAAGUAGGGACCAAUGCAAUUCAUGUGCCCAUGGAAGGAAACCGAACAAGGCACACCCACGUGGGAAGCAAGCAGGAUUUGUAUAUGAAGACAAAGACGGAAUUAGAUGGAAAUUCAAUGGGACCGUCUUCCAGGUGAUGUGCUCGACGCAGAAUUGUCCACGACUUGCACAUGCUAAUUCAAAUGGGAAAUGCAAUUCAUGUGCACAUAACAAAAAGCCGUUUCAACAACACCCUAAAUGGAGUGAAAGGUUCAAAGGAUACGAAUAUGAAGACAAUAACGGAGUCCGAUGGAAAAUCAGUGGUUCAAACAAAUUUCACAAAUUGUGUCUCAACAAACCUUCCCCAAGGUUCGCAACAGGAGAUAAUUCCAUUAUAUAAUAUUUAUAGUAGCAGAGCUCACUUAUCAUUUCACAAAGGUCGCAUUACGUUUAACAUCUGAAGAAUCUCAAAACAAAUAGUAAGUCUUGAUACGACAACGACUCAGAAUACAUACGUAAGCAUUUGUCUAAAUGAGUAAGUUUUAAGUUAAUUAAAAAACUACGAUUAUCCUUACUCUAUUUGGUAACAACACUUGUGAAUAAUUGCAAUUUUCAGCCCAGAGUUUAAAGCGUCUUAAUAAAUACUACUGAAUUCAUGCAAAAAUAGGAUUCACAUGAAAAUGUAGUUUAUUUUAGGCUAUUUUAACCACGUGCACUUGAAAACGUUGCAAAAUUAUUUAUAACUAUUAAAUACGUAUAGCUUUUCUAGGAUGAUUGAUUAAAUGUUUGUUUCUUAAAA